UGAGAGAUAGCCAUGAUUGAACAUUGCCCAAAAAUCCCUACGAACUGCAAUGCACUCAUAGUGGUUAAAGAAGAUGUUAAUAUAGAGAGAUGAAUAUUUUCGUGGAACUUCAGAAAACGAAGGCAAAGUUGAAAAGUAAUGUAGUGUCAAGUGGGAAUGGAAUUUGUACUCGAAGUGCGGAUUCAAUCUAUUUUGAGUCGAUUUCCAAACGUUGAGAGGAGCGUGCCCUAACGGCACUCAAAGUGCAGAUUCAAUCCAUUUGUUUUUAUGAAUAACUGUCCAGAUUCAAUUAAGAACGUGACCUAACGGCACUCAAAUUACAUCGGAAUGGCCGUUGGAAAAGCAGGAUUUCACUUCUUUUAAAUGGGAGAUUUACUAGAGAAACAGGGCAGAUUGUAGUGUUCAUUCAUUUAUUUUUCUGUUUUCUUUUUGAUUUUGUUUUUUCGGCGUGGCCAUGCCUCAACUUAGAUGUUUUCAUUUGCGUUUGAAUUGCAGUUUUUUAUUUAUUUUGAGUAUCUUCUUUUUCCCUGUGGAUUGUCAUUUUUUAAUGGGCAUGGAGGUAGGCAGCAGCAAGAACUCUACGUUCUGGAGUGGCUGAUUGGAGAUAUGGCCAGAAAAUGAUUUUUGGUGGCAUCCAUAAAGGGGUGAGAUGGAGUGGGUCCCUGAUCACAAAGAGUAGCAGUCUCAUCUCCCAGUGUGUUUUCAUCAAGAGACAUUGGCUAAACGGGCUAAAUUAAUGCUGCUCUGGAAGCUUUUCUCAACCGCCGGCUCUGAAUGAUACUCACGUGCUAAUUGAGUAUUCUUUGAUCAUUAAGUUUUUUCUUGCGCUUAAGACUCUUACUGCUAAUUGAGUAUUCUUUGAUCAUUAAGUUUUUUCUUGUGCUUAAGACUCCUACUGCUAAUUGAGUAUUCUUUGUUUAGAUUAUUGGAUACGGUUGGAGACUCACAACCUUUCAAAUACUUAACCUCACUGGCAGAUAUGGGUGCUAAAAAAAAAGGUGGUACAUAGUGGAGGUGGACUAUAUUUUGUUGAGCAGCAAGGAUCACACUGAAAUAAUCAACGCAAUAUCACUUUGGUGCAUAAGCUAGGACGACAUCACAGGGAUGUAAGUUUGUUAGGAAAAUGAAAGGAAAGAUGCUUAUAAAGCAUCCUCUGCAACUUUGCGUGUGCCACGAGGCAAGACCAUUGUGGUCAUCAAUCUAAAUUUCCAGGGACCGAGUGACCUAGGUUUCGAUUUCUAGGCCUAAAAUUUAAACGUAACCGUAAAGGAUUCAAAAACACUGAAAAUAAUACUGGGAGUUCAUUUUGUCAAAAUAAAAAUAAAAAUUGUGUAGUUCUAUGCUAAUAAAAUCUGUAAUAAGAAUAGUAAUCCUCCAAGUUUUACAUA